rnacentral:rRNA from 1 species
GACGUAGGGCGCGAGCGUUGUCCGGAUUUAUUGGGCGUAAAGAGCUCGUAGGCGGUCUGUCGCGUCGGCUGUGAAAACUCGGGGCUCAACCCCGAGCCUGCAGUCGAUACGGGCAGACUAGAGUGCGGUAGGGGAGACUGGAAUUCCUGGUGUAGCGGUGAAAUGCGCAGAUAUCAGGAGGAACACCGAUGGCGAAGGCAGGUCUCUGGGCAUUAACUGACGCUGAGGAGCGAAAGCAUGGGGAGCGAACAGG